rnacentral:rRNA from 1 species
UUUUGACCUCGAAUCAGGUGGGACUACCCGCUGAACUUAAGCAUAUCAAUAAGCGGAGGAAAAGAAACUAACAAGGAUUCCCCUAGUAACGGCGAGUGAAGUGGGAUGAGCUCAAAUUUAAAAUCUGGUAGUCUUUGGCUGCCCGAGUUGUAAUCUAGAGAAGUGUUUUCUGUGCUGGACUGUGUUCAAGUUUCCUGGAUAUGGAACAUCAUAGAGGGUGAGAAUCCCGUCUUUGGCACAGACUCCCAGUGCUCUGUGAUGCACUCUCAACGAGUCGAGUUGUUUGGGAUUGCAGCUCAAAAUGGGAGGUAAAUUCCUUCUAAAGCUAAAUAUUGGCGAGAGACCGAUAGCG